UGAUGACACUGAGGAAAUAUUCUACAAUCUUCACCAUGGUUAUGGUUGAAUAGGGAUUCCUACAUAGCAAUUGCUAUUGCAUUGUGUAAUGCCAGCAUGUAUGUUUUCCUAAGCAAGCGACAGUGUGUCAAGGUGGAAACUGUGCAUCUGGACAGGAUGAGAGUGGUCGUAUGGCAAUGGCUGUAAGCAUGAAAUCACCUGGCCUUGGGCGGAAGACAUCUAUGAAUCGACCAACCAGAUGUAACCCUCUAAUUUAAACUCCUGAAAAUCCCCAUGGUUGUGGAUGGUGCAGACAGAAUGUGAGCCAGGAAGUACAUCUGUAAAUGCCCAGACAUUCCAUCUUCAGGAGUAUCUUCAUUCUUCAAUUGCAUCUUAGCUAAGAAGUUAACUUGGAUCUGCUUCACAGGGAGUCAUUGAUGAUCAACUAAGUAGUAGGAUACAGUUUUCUGAUCAGAUGAAAUCGCUUUAUCUUAUCUGGCUGGAAUUUAAAGAGCUGAGACUACCAUCAGAAAAUCUACCAUGUAAUAACACUAACCUGGAACAUUGCUACCGAGUCUACCACACAGUAACACUGACCCAGAAUGUUGCUACUGUGUCUACCACACAGUAAUCUGGACUAGGACAUUGCUUUUAUGAGUUUCCAUGCAGUAACACCGACUUGAGUAGUCCACACAGGAAUAACACACAGUAACAUUGACUUAGGAUGUUGCUACAGUAUAUUCCACACUGUAAUACUGGCCAAAGUGUAGCUUUUGUAUGGAAAAUUCAGACAGAUAACUGAAGUUACCUGUCAAUAGGUGCAAUAAAAUCUUUAUUAUCCGUUUAUGUUUACACUCCUGAUACUGAAGGCUGGACUCUGCUGAACACUGGGAAAAAAGCAGAGAUAAACAUGCAACUCACUGUGUGUGACAUAAGUGCAAAAAACUUUUAAAUGUGACCGUGAUAUAUAGACAUUAAAAUUAAGUAAAAUUCAAGUAAUGGUCAAAGGUGGUAGUGAAAACUCAAUGAAUGUGAUGACUGAAAAAGAAAGACAGUUAUACCUACUAGUAAAAAUCUAUAAGAUUAAAUAUUAAAAUAAUGUUUAAAAGUGACAGUAGGUACAGUAAAAUGUGAAUAUGUGUUUUGAUUGAUAAUU